AUUGAAGACCAGAUAAUGCCCCAGACUCAAGAUUGAAAGCCUUGACUUCAGUGGAAAUAUUUCGGGCAUCAGAUUAUGCUCAGAGAGAGGUUCCUUAGCUUUGGUCAUUGGAACACAAUAAACAGAGGAACCUUCCAGGCCUCACAUGGAUUCAGUACCCAAUAUUUCUCCCCACUGGCAGAAAUCCUGGCACAGAUCACUAGUGGCAGAAAUUCCACUGUGAGGAAAAAAUUGUAUUGGCAAAAAUCAGUUGCAGGCUUCUCCAAGGCAGCGUUUUUCAACAUCCUUUUAAAAAAUGCAGACAUCCAAACCGGACAUGGCAGGGGUGUCUAAUUUUUGGUGCAAACCAAGGAAGGGGGCAUGACCAACCCAGCUGUGGGAUGCAGUUCUCUCGGCAGCCUCCGUCAAGACAAUGCCUUCUCUGGCUGUAAAGUUAAAGCCUCUCAGCCUGCACAGGAAGUAUGCAGAAAGAACAACGGCAUCCUCCUAAGAGGCACGGCAUCUCGCAGGGAUACACGGGUAUAAUUUAUAACUCUCUGUGCCCCUAGUCAAUCUGGCCACAAGUGUUAUAAAAGCUAGAGAUAAAAUAUUUAGAACUUUAAGAUGAUGCCGAAACGUGUCUCUCCAUAUGAUGGAAUGUGGCUCAAGAGAGAGAUUAAAGCUCAUAUUUGUAGUUGUUGGUACUUAAACAAAUAUGUGUUUGGUGUAACAUUACUGAAGGGAUUAAAAUGAAUAUAUUCAUGAAUGUGUAUUUUAGACCCCUUAGUAACCUGGACUGUCUAAUGUUCUCCCCUGGUGCAAACUGUACAAUGUUAUUAAUGUAUGUUAUUAAUAUUCUCAGUCCCUGCUAAUUUCUUCUCAUGGUCCUUUGCCCAAAGAACUUAAAUCUAAUUUUGUAUGUACUGCAAUGCAUUGGCAUAACAAAACAUCAGGGAGGGGACCGAUGGGGUGGGUUAUUACAAUAAGAACAUGUAGCUAAUAAGUUGGGUAGGUCAAAAUCAUCUAUUGAGACUGAUUGUAUAAUCAUGUGGGAAGUGUUUAAAAGCUUCCUGGUUUUGUGCCAUUUUUGUACAGCAGUUAUGAUGACCAGUUUCAUUCUUGACAUUGAGGUUAGUUCUAUAUUUAGGCAUGUAGAUACAGUACUCGAGUAGAUGGGACGAGUCAUAUAUUCUUCAAUGGCAGGCUAUAUUGUGCCUGAUUCCAGGAAUAUAAUAUAAUAUAAUAUAUAUGUUGUCAUCCCCAAAUACAUCUCAGUGAAGCAUGAUGAUAAAUCUUUUAAAUGAAGAAGGCUCAAGCCACCUCUUAUCUUCAUUUAGUUGCAUUUUUCUUGGACAUGUUUGGUCCUUUUUACCUUUCCCUAGGAAGUUUUAUACAUAUGAUCUAUCUUCGUUUUUUCCCCCGAUGUUAAGUGGAAAAAGAAUUGGCAGCACUUUAAAAGGACAUAGCAGGAGUGAGUGUAAGGGAGUAUACAUCAUUAAUAGAUUAAUCCUAUCCCACAGCAUAGAUAUCUUUCCAACUGCGUGUACUUCCUCAUCUAAGUACCAAAAAGUCUGUUGGGGAAGAGUUUCAUCUGAAAGUCAUCAGGUAGCUUCUCUUUUAUUUAUAUUGCCAGUGGGUUGCUGGGAUAUUUUGCAGUUUCAUUUAAGAGCUAAGUGCACCCGCGGUUGUUUGUAAAGAAUCUGAUGGAUAGGUCUGUGUUAGAUGAAAAAAAUAAUGGCCAAAAAUUAAUCUGCAAAGAGGGGAGAUUUUGAUCCAUGUGGACUGAUUGUAAUCCCAAAUUGGCACAAAACCAAAGGACAACAGAUUCAUUCAAAAAUGAAUGGCAUUAAACAAUAGGGACAGAGACAGCCCUAUCUGCUAUUCCUAUUUAAAUCAAAUAAUUUGGUAUCUUGGCUAAGGGUCAGAUUGUGAUACCCUUACUCUGUUUGAAUAGUACCUUGCAUCAAGAGUGGUCUCAUAAAAGUCAAUGGUACUGUUUGCGUAUUAAGGAGUUACUGUGA